UCUUUAUAACUGAUAGUAGAACUUAAUAUAGAAAGUGUGUCUUCAUCUUUUCUUUCAAAGCUUGUUUUGUUAUUUCUAUAUCCUAAAUUAUCAUUUCUUUCUAAGCAGUUUUUGAAAUGUUCUACGCAUUCCUCAAUUUUCAUGUCGCCUUUUCGACAUCCUUUACAUUUAAAAGCUAUAUUUUUAUAUUCUUCCGCUAAAGUUUCAGCCUUUUCUAUGGCCAUGUCUACUUCAUAUCCCUCUUGUAGGACUUCUAUAUUCAUAAAGUCGCUUUCUGUUUCUAUAUUACUUUCUGUUUCAUCAUCGUCUAAAUUCCUUUUGGUUGUGUAAUUAUAAUCUGUAAACCUUACCGAAGUUUCUCCCUUACUCGUAGUAUAUAAUAGAUGAGAGUCUGGUGUAAAAAUUUUUGGUUUA
rnacentral:lncRNA from 1 species